AUCGUACACUUUUGCCUAACCGGUUACUCGGACAAUCGUUCGACCGAUUAACCGGUUAACCGGUAUAGUUCAGAUUGGGGUUUGAAAGCCUUAUCAAUAGUACCCUACACAUAGAUAUAAGAUGUAGUACGAGUGUCAAUUUGACAACCUUUCAUCCAAGUCAUAAAUUUACGCUUUUAAAAUUUAAUAUUGUCCUUUUGGCAUUAUACGGCUUGCUUUGAGGAUUCCUGGCGAAGUUUGAUCUUUAAUAAUCAGAUGCACCGUAUCAACUAUAGCGUCUGUACCAACUUAAGAUUGAAAAAUAAAAUAAAACUUCUAUAUCUCGUAGGAUUGAAUAUGUCUGAAACCGAU
rnacentral:lncRNA from 1 species